ensembl:rRNA 5S_rRNA 5S ribosomal RNA
GCUUACGGCCAUACCUCUCUGGCUCCGCCUGAUCUCGUCUGAUCUCAGAAGCUAAGCAGAGUAGGGCCUGGUUAGUACUUGGAUGGAAGACCGCCUGGGGAUCCCAGGUGCCGUAAGCU